AGUGAACGCUGGCGGCAGGCCUAACACAUGCAAGUCGAACGGCAGCACAAGAGAGCUUGCUCUCUGGGUGGCGAGUGGCGGACGGGUGAGGAAUGCAUCGGAAUCUGCCCAUUUGUGGGGGAUAACCUCGGGAAACCGGGACUAAUACCGCAUACGACCUACGGGUGAAAGCAGGGGAUCUUCGGACCUUGCGCAGAUGGAUGAGCCGAUGCCGGAUUAGCUAGUUGGAGGGGUAAAGGCCCACUAAGGCGACGAUCCGUAGCUGGUCUGAGAGGAUGAUCAGCCACACUGGGACUGAGACACGGCCCAGACUCCUACGGGAGGCAGCAGUGGGGAAUAUUGGACAAUGGGCGCAAGCCUGAUCCAGCCAUGCCGCGUGUGUGAAGAAGGCCUUCGGGUUGUAAAGCACUUUUGUUGGGAAAGAAAAGCAGCCGGUUAAUACCCGGUUGUCAUGACGGUACCCAAAGAAUAAGCACCGGCUAACUUCGUG
rnacentral:rRNA from 1 species